UCAAGUCAUUGACAUGUUGUGACAAGGAGAGAGAGAGAGGGAUACUCCCCUGGAAAUGUAUCAAGAUUUCAGACUCAUUUUUCUUGAACAUACAUGAUUAGGGCUUGGUUGUCCUAAGAACUAUGGACUACAGAACUUACCUGCAUAUGUCUAGCAAUCAUCGUUGGAGGCAGGAGAGUAGCUAAUAGGUCCAACUUGAAAAGAGCUUUCUUACUCUCUCAGUGCUUCAAAGUGUCUGUAGAUUUCCCCUUUCCUCAUGCUUUGUUGGGGGACUCAGAAUGGUCUCUCCUGUGACUGGGCCAUUAAUAUGCAUGUUCCCUUGUGUUUAUCUACAGGGUCUGCUGGGAAGGCAUCAUGCCAACCUUCCACCAUCAAUGAGCAAGUUCAGCAGAUUAAGAAGUAGGAGAAACUGACUAUUGAGCUCAAGAAGAAAACCUCUAUGGAGAUUUUCUUGUUGACUGGGCUCAUAGCUUCAGACCUGAAGUCAGGGAUAAUAUGGACAAUGGCGAUCCAUUUGAAAGAAGCUGCUUAACUUGGAGGAACAGGGAAACAGUGAGCAAGAGUAAGAUGUUUGUCCACCAGGUGAUCCCUUGCUGAGAACAAAGUCUCCUCUUCACAGCCUGAAAACUGGGCAGGCUGGAAGCCAAUAGCAAUGUACAUGAAGAAAGUACAUCAGUAGUGAGAAAGAAAAUUGCUGCACUUCUUCAAUAAUCAUUUCCUUAGAUUUUUAGGUGCUGAGGACAAAGAGAAGACACACAGAAGGACUGAGACAGAGGGUCUGAACUGGAAGGACAGAGACUGAUGGACAGAGCAGGAGAGGGGAUGACCUGAAAAGACCAGUUUGAGAUAAGGAGAACAAAGAUGUUGAUGGCUCCAAGCUUCUCCCUAGCCUGUCAAGCAAAAAGCAUAAGGACAAAAUGGAAAAGGCUCCAGCAAGUAAUCUUCUACUUUAUCUCCUGCUGUUUCAGAAUGAGGUGGAAACUUUCUCCAGUGCCCAUGUGUUGAAGACUCUUCCCCAUCUUUUCUUCUAUUAGUGUAGUGCCCACCUCGACCAGCAAGGAAGACACAUCACCGUUGGAUUCUUCUCAACAGCCUUUAUUUCAGGAAAACCUCAUUCUUGAUGAGGGGGGCCCCGAGGGAAAAAAGGCAC